rnacentral:tRNA from 1 species
GCCGACAUAGCUCAGUUGGUAGAGCAGCUCAUUCGUAAUGAGCGGGUCGGAGGUUCAAGUCCUCUCGGUGGCUCUA